UACGUAGGGGGCAAGCGUUGUCCGGAAUCAUUGGGCGUAAAGAGCGUGUAGGCGGCCCGGUAAGUCCGCUGUGAAAGUCCAGGGCUCAACCCUGGGAUGCCGGUGGAUACUGUCGGGCUCGAGUCCGGAAGAGGAGUGUGGAAUUCCUGGUGUAGCGGUGAAAUGCGCAGAUAUCAGGAAGAACACCAAUGGCGAAAGCAGCUUUCUGGGACGGUACUGACGCUGAGACGCGAAAGCGUGGGGAGCGAACAGG
rnacentral:rRNA from 1 species